UCCAGGCCAGAAUCCAAUUACAUACACCUGUUGGCAUAAGUCACAGUAUAAAUCAUAGCACUGACCUGCCAUAGUAAUAAAGUCAGAGCUUACAUUUUUCAUCAUGUUCCAAUCCUAUCAAUAAGAAUAGGAUAAAUCUAUCAAUGACUACUACUUAUUAUGGUCAGAUGACCUCUGGGAUCAAAGGCAAGGCUACCUUCAUCAUUAGACAAGGCAAGCUGCUCAACAUAGCAGCUUUUGGUGACAUGAAACUCUGAACUUAAAAGGGGCCCUAGAAUUAUUAUAAGAAUCUCUUCUUGGCCUCAGGAUAAUAAACGCUGAGGCGUUCAACUAUUACUGGUCCAAGGGCUUCUCAGGAUCUACUUGGGGUCGUGCAGUUACAACAUGCUUGAAGUGAGGGCAGAAAGCAGGAGAUGGUUUCAGGAGAUGUUCAGUGAGUGAUGGGUU